CUAGCUUUGGUCCAGUCCACAACCUGGGUUGGAUUCCAACCGAGUCUUUCCCACUUAUGCAGGGAGACUAACGAGGAAAGAAAAGAGAAAACCUUUUCAAAUCCCAACGGUCACAUGAAAGGGAAAUGAAAAACGAGGCAGCAAUUAUGAACCGCGGCGGCAGACCUCGGGCAGCGAGUGAGGAAAGAUUCCUCAUCAAUGACAAUAAAUUCACUUAAAACCAGAAACAGACAUAACUUGGAGACGAAUGUAAACGUAAUAUUUCUAAACCUAUCUAGAUUCUUCUCUGAUUAUAAUGUUCAUCAUGUCUCUUAAACAAAACUCAAAGAAAACCAGAGUUUCCUCUCAAAACCAAUUGAUUGUGACAGCAGGAAAGUAGAUCUAUUGAUCGGUGUAAACCAUAAACUACGGUGAAGUUCUAUCAAAAUUCAGCCACAACACAAGAACCUCAAAAUGACAGACAUGAACAAAUCAUUUAUGCGCCAAUGUACAAAUCGCGCCAGAAGAAAAUCGGCCACACAUACAUUCGGUUGCGUUAAAAUCAACAGAUCGAGAAAUAGAGGGUUAAGAUUGUACCAAAUCAAGAGGCUUCAGAGACGAAUAACUAAGUAUGUGUUUUGUCUGAUCUUCCUUCUUCUUCGAUCUUUCUUUCUAGUGCUUUCUCGUUCGUGUAUUCCGUUGAAGGAUUUGAGCUCUUCAACUUUGGUUUUCAGUGUGAACAUCAGAGUUGAGGUUUUUAACUGAGCUUUGAGUGCAAGGUUCCAGGGAAUUUCAGCAGAGAUUUGGUACCUUUUUCUUAAUGGAUGGGGUUCUCCUAUAUAGAGAGGUGGUACGAGGUUUGUACGUAGUAUGAGCUGGAGAAUCAAGCGAAUCAUUCCGUUUAUAAAACGAAUUUUCUCAGAUUUGCUGUGGUCCCUCAAAUGUGGGUGGUACGCAUGAAUUUUGUUUGUAGUGAAAUCUCUUUAGACGCGUGGCCACUUUUGCUGAAUCCUUUGUUGAAUUCUUACUGCUGUAAAAUCUUUACUUGCUAUGGUGUUGACUUAUUGCAAGCAGGCUGCAGGUUGUGUUUUAUGUGUGUACUACUGCAGGGUAUAUUGCAGGCUUUUUAUAAUGCCCUGGUUUGAUGCAAGUGGUUUGUUUGGCAUGGUAAUAUGGUUUGCAGGGUGGUCUUCUUCAUGACAAAGAUUGGUAGACGACACACUUUCUGCAACAAGCUUAUUGUAAUAUUGGUUGGGGCUUAAUGAUCAGGCUGCUGCUAUAAUCAUUGACGUAUCAACGCUGUUUGGUUAGUCGUUGUAGACUUGUACUCUGAUUUUGCAGCAGGUUGGUGUUGCCUUGGGCAACACGAUUCUCAUAGCCAAAUGGAUUAUAUGUAAGGUUAAAGGUCUACAGAAGUUUGUUGCUUGAGGUGAUAAUUCAGCCACAACAUGAUGAAGUGAUUGAUCAUCAUCCUCACUAACUAUGCUGUAUUUGCAGGAACUACCAUUGUUGUGACCAUCCUUCAAUCUCUGAUACAUGGAGACAGCUGACACCAGAUUGGGGAAUGCAUGCAUUUAGAGAACAAUCCGCAUUAUUGUCUUCAGAUUUGUUUGGCAUUGAAGAGGUCACAUUCGCGGUAGAACUGAUGCUUUCAGCCUUGUCCGUUGGCUUUUGAAGUUGCCAUCUCGUUAUCUUAUUUUUUCUUUGAUAAACCACGACUGUAAAAUCUCCACUGCCUGCCCUCCUGACUUCCUCCACUUGUGAGUAAUUGUUUCUGAUAAGAAACAUUUCUUCAUCACAACCCAAAACUCUUGUAGCAUCCAAACAAGCAACAAAAUGAAUAUCCUGCAACCCGCACAUUUAACAAGAAAAGUGGUGCCUGUAAUAUAUCUUCAGUUAUCCUUUUGUUCAUCUCUGGCCAAGAUCACCAAUUCCAGGUUCAACAUUUAUAUUUGAACCGUUUUCAACAACAUCUACUUUCCUGCAUUAUUUUCUGCAUACUUGAGUGUAGUUGUAUAUUGAGUCUAUUUGUGGCGGUAUUUUGGCUUUUAUGCAGCUUCCGUUCUACAUUACUAUUGGAGCUGCUGUUAGAUGUUUCUUAUAAGUUUUGUUUGUGUAGUUUGUUUGGAGUGAUGUGCUUUAGUUCACUGUAGCUUCAACUUUUGGAGGCUUGAAGCUUUAGUGCCGGCAAUAGUUCCAUCUGCCUUGGGCCACUAUCUUCUUGCAACAUCCAUGGACAAUAUAUUGGAACAGUCCGUGACAUAGCCUACCUUGGAAGGAGUACUCCAAGCCAUGUCUAAAUUCUGCUUUUGGUCCUACGACAUGUCGUUUGUUGCUUUGUCGUCCAGCAGCCUGUUGCAGCUUUUUUCCAAAUUGUUUACUUUUGCUUUGUCUCUUUUCUUUUCCCAUGUAAAAUCUUAUUAUUUCAAAUAUGUAGGAAUGAACAAUGGUUUGGAUUGGGAUAGGUUUUGGUUUACUGGAUGGAUUUGGUUUAGGUGAAUGGAUUGUGGUUGCAAGAUGGUUAAUGCAGGUCUAUUCAUGAUGAUGCACUUAGAAUAGAGACAUUCUUUGUGGAGUGCAUGCUCUUUAAGCAUCUGUGCACAUUUUGGUCAAAUCGUGCUUAUGUUUGCCAUACGCAGUAAUGCGUUGGCUUGAUUAAUUGGUUUAGUAGGUAUGUCACAACAAGCAUAACUUGCCCCCUGAAGAAAAUGAGAUGGAAGUAAAUAGUCAUGGAAUUUGGAUGAUGAAGCAAGACAAGAUGGGUUAGGUUGAGUCUUAGGGUGACCAAUGUAGGUUAUCUGACUUGGAUCAACCGGGUUGAUCGAAAAUCCAACCGUUCACAAAAAUAGUCAAACUUGUAAUUUUUGUACGAU